rnacentral:rRNA from 1 species
GGGGGGUGCUAUACAUGCAGUCGAGCGAAUGGAUUAAGAGCUUGCUCUUAUGAAGUUAGCGGCGGACGGGUGAGUAACACGUGGGUAACCUGCCCAUAAGACUGGGAUAACUCCGGGAAACCGGGGCUAAUACCGGAUAACAUUUUGAACCGCAUGGUUCGAAAUUGAAAGGCGGCUUCGGCUGUCACUUAUGGAUGGACCCGCGUCGCAUUAGCUAGUUGGUGAGGUAACGGCUCACCAAGGCAACGAUGCGUAGCCGACCUGAGAGGGUGAUCGGCCACACUGGGACUGAGACACGGCCCAGACUCCUACGGGAGGCAGCAGUAGGGAAUCUUCCGCAAUGGACGAAAGUCUGACGGAGCAACGCCGCGUGAGUGAUGAAGGCUUUCGGGUCGUAAAACUCUGUUGUUAGGGAAGAACAAGUGCUAGUUGAAUAAGCUGGCACCUUGACGGUACCUAACCAGAAAGCCACGGCUAACUACGUGCCAGCAGCCGCGGUAAUACGUAGGUGGCAAGCGUUAUCCGGAAUUAUUGGGCGUAAAGCGCGCGCAGGUGGUUUCUUAAGUCUGAUGUGAAAGCCCACGGCUCAACCGUGGAGGGUCAUUGGAAACUGGGAGACUUGAGUGCAGAAGAGGAAAGUGGAAUUCCAUGUGUAGCGGUGAAAUGCGUAGAGAUAUGGAGGAACACCAGUGGCGAAGGCGACUUUCUGGUCUGUAACUGACACUGAGGCGCGAAAGCGUGGGGAGCAAACAGGAUUAGAU